UUCUUUGCCUGCCCAGAGUUCCAG
rnacentral:piRNA from 1 species